UAGGGAAUCUUCCGCAAUGGACGAAAGUCUGACGGAGCAACGCCGCGUGAGUGAAGAAGGCCUUCGGGUCGUAAAACUCUGUUGCCGGGGAAGAACAAGUGCCGUUCGAACAGGGCGGCGCCUUGACGGUAUCCGGCCAGAAAGCCACGGCUAACUACGUG
rnacentral:rRNA from 1 species